ensembl:lncRNA
GUGAAGGGUUGGUUGUAUUCAAGGAUUGUUUAGGCAGAGAAUGUCAGCUAAGGUUUUUGACAACCUACAAGAGAAACUCAGGCUGACUGCUUUAAGUAAAGCCACUGGGGAGGCCCCCCAGUAUUAAGCCUUGGGAAGGACAGGAAUCGGGCAUUUCCAGGCAUCUCAGGAACAUACAGAGAAGGCAAUGGCACCCCACUCCAGUACUCUUGCCUGGAAAAUCCCAUGGACCGAGGAGCCUGGUGGGCUGCAGUCCAUGGGGUCGCUAAGAGUUGGACACGACUGAGCAACUUCACUUUCACUUUUCACUUUAAUGCAUUGGAGAAGGAAAUGGCAACCCAGUCCAGUGUUCUUGCCUGGAGAAUCCCGGGGAUGGGGGAGCCUGGUGGGCUGCCGUCUAUGGGGUCACACAGAGUCGGACAUGACUGAAGUGACUUAGCAGCAGCAGCAGGAACAUAAAUUCAUGGAGAAGCCCUUUAGGAGUGACUCCUGUGAUUUUUCCCUCUUGCAUUACUUCUUGGGAUGGAAGUAAGAUGGCUCAGAAUAUCCCAGCCUUACAACUACAGACCACAGUAUCUGGAGGGAAAAUGAGAUCUUUUCUCAAUGCAGAUCUCAGGAAUAAGGCUGUGCCAGGCAGCGUGCAGGAUCUUAAUUCCCUGACCAGGGAUUGAACCUGUGCCCCUGGAGUGGAAGUUUGGAGGCCUAACCACUGGACCACCAGGGAUGUCCCUCGACUGCCUUUUAAUUCAGUUAAUUCAGUCACUUUGCAGUUCAUUUUUUGCUUCGUAUUUAAGUGUUUUGGUGGUCAGACCACAUUUCUGCUAAGAGUUCAUGGCUUGUUUUCAGGAGAAAAUGGCUAAAAGUUCAAUAUAAUUGUAUGCAUUUGAGGUCUAUGAAUAACUGUGAUAAAAUGUUCAGAAAGUAAAAAUGCUGCCUUCCACUCAAAAUUAAAUGGAGUUGACACAGCUGGUUUGUUUGAUUUGGGGGUGGGCAAAUGGGGUUGUGCUAGAUUGUA